UUGCCCUAGUAACGGCGAGUGAAGCGGCAACAGCUCAAAUUUGAAAUCUGGCUCUUUCAGAGUCCGAGUUGUAAUUUGCAGAGGGCGCUUUGGCGUUGGGAGCGGUCCAAGUUCUUUGGAACAGGACGUCACAGAGGGUGAGAAUCCCGUACGUGGUCGCUAUCCUUCGCCGUGUAAAGCCCCUUCGACGAGUCGAGUUGUUUGGGAAUGCAGCUCUAAAUGGGAGGUAAAUUUCUUCUAAAGCUAAAUACUGGCCAGAGACCGAUAGCGCACAAGUAGAGUGAUCGAAAGAUGAAAAGCACUUUGGAAAGAGAGUCAAAUAGCACGUGAAAUUGUUGAAAGGGAAGCGCUUGCAGCCAGACUUGCCUGUAGUUGCUUAUCUGGACUUUUGUCCAGUGCACUCUUCUGCGGGCAGGCCAGCAUCAGUUUGGGCGGUUGGAUAAAGGUCUCUGUCAUGUACCUCCUUUCGGGGAGGCCUUAUAGGGGAGACGACAUGCAACCAGCCUGGACUGAGGUCCGCGCAUCUGCUAGGAUGCUGGCGUAAUGGCUGUAAGCGGCCCGUCUUGAAACACGGACCAAGGAGUCUAACAUCUAUGCGAGUGUUUGGGUGUCAAGCCCAGACGCGUAAUGAAAGUGAACGGAGGUGGGAACCUUUUAGGUGCACCAUCGACCGAUCCUGAUGUCUUCGGAAGGAUUUGAGUAAGAGCAUAGCUGUUGGGACCCGAAAGAUGGUGAACUAUGCUUGAAUAGGGUGAAGCCAGAGGAAACUCUGGUGGAGGCUCGCAGCGGUUCUGACGUGCAAAUCGAUCGUCAAAUUU
rnacentral:rRNA from 1 species